rnacentral:misc_RNA from 1 species
AAGUUAUAGUCCCCUGGCCUUCUGGCUAGGGUCUUCUAUACCACCCUUUGUUUAUUACACCUUUGUUGCUUUGGCAGGCCUGCCCUCGGGCUGCUGGCUCCGGCCGGCGAGCGCCUGCCAGAGGACCUAAACUCUGUUUGUCUAUAAUGUCUGAGUACUAUAUAAUAGUUAAAACUUUCAACAACGGAUCUCUUGGUUCUGGCAUCGAUGAAGAACGCAGCGAAAUGCGAUAAGUAAUGUGAAUUGCAGAAUUCAGUGAAUCAUCGAAUCUUUGAACGCACAUUGCGCUCCCUGGUAUUCCGGGGAGCAUGCCUGUUCGAGCGUCAUUACAACCCUCAAGCUCUGCUUGGUGUUGGGCCCCGCCGCCCCGGCGGGCCCUAAAGUCAGUGGCGGUGCCGUCCGGCUCCGAGCGUAGUAAUUUUUCUCGCUUUGGAGGCCCGGUCGCGUGCUUGCCAUCAACCCCCAAUUUUUUUCAG